CGCAUCUGUGCAUGCAGCAUAUCAAUAAGCGGAGGAAAAGUACUACCUACGCUUAGGAUGUUGACUCGUCGUGCGUGCGUGAGUCUAUACAUGACUCUGUGCAUAUCAAUAAGCGGAGGAAAAGAAACUAACAAGGAUUCCCUUAGUAACGGCGAGUGAAGCGGGAAGAGCUCAAAUUUGAAAUCUUCAAGGUUUUACCUCGACGAAUUGUAGUUUAAAGAAGUGUUUUCUGUUGAAGUUUUGGUAAAAGUUCCUUGGAAUAGGACAUCAUAGAGGGUGAGAAUCCCGUAUUUGACCAUUAUUUUCAGCUGUGUGAUACACUUUCAAAGAGUCGGAUUGUUUGGGAAUGCAGUCCAAAAUGGGUGGUAAAUUUCAUCUAAAGCUAAAUAUUGGCGAGAGACCGAUAGCGAACAAGUACCGUGAGGGAAAGAUGAAAAGAACUUUGAAAAGAGAGUUAAACAGUACGUGAAAUUGUCAAAAGGGAAGCGUUUGACACCAGUGUUGUUUUCUCGAAAAUCAAUUAAAAAGAGUUAGAUUUUGUUGUGUAUUGACCUUAACAGCUUGCAUUUCAAUUUUCUUGCUUUUUUUAAUGCACUUUUCGUUUAACAAGUCAACAUCAGUUUCUUUUGUUGUAAAAAGGUCAUUGGAAGGUGGCUUUCUUUUCGGAGAAAGUGUUUAUAGCCUUUGACUCCUGCAAUCGGAGAGACUGAGGUCUGCAGCGUAGAUCCUUCGGGGUUAGAUACAUUUGUGCUAAGUUAUAGCUUUUUAUAGACAACUUGUUGACUAUGAUUAGUCUUGUAGCUUACUCGCUUAUGCUAUUUUACCUACGCUUAGGAUGUUGAUCUGUAGUGCGUGCGC
rnacentral:rRNA from 1 species